CCAAGGAGUCUAACAUGUGCGCGAGUCAUUGGGACGUUGAAACCUAAAGGCGCAAUGAAAGUAAAUGUUCGCCCUCGCGCGGACAGAGGGAGGAUGGAUCGCGUCACGAUGCGGUCUCGCACUCCCGGGGCGUCUCGUUCUCAUUGCGAGAAGAGGCGCACCCAGAGCGUACACGUUGGGACCCGAAAGAUGGUGAACUAUGCCUGGUCAGGACGAAGUCAGGGGAAACCCUGAUGGAGGUCCGUAGCGAUUCUGACGUGCAAAUCGAUCGUCGGAACUGGGUAUAGGGGCGAAAGACUAAUCGAACCAUCUAGUAGCUGGUUCCCUCCGAAGUUUCCCUCAGGAUAGCUGGCACUCGCGUGCGAAACGUUACACGAGUCUCAUUCGGUAAAGCGAAUGAUUAGAGGCCUUGGGGCCGAAACGACCUCAACCUAUUCUCAAACUUUAAAUGGGUGAGAUCUCUGGCUUGCUUGAACCAUGAAGCCACGAGAUUUCGGAUCAGAGUGCCAAGUGGGCCACUUUU
rnacentral:rRNA from 1 species